rnacentral:rRNA from 1 species
UACGGAGGGAGCUAGCGUUAUUCGGAAUUACUGGGCGUAAAGAGCGUGUAGGUGGUUGUCUAAGUCAGUUGUUAAAUAUCACGGCCUAACUGUGAAAGUGCGAUUGAUACUGGAUGACUAGAGGGCAGGAGAGAGAAGUGGAAUUCUCGGAGUAGCGGUAAAAUGCGUAGAUCUCGAGAGGAACACCGAUGGCGAAGGCAGCUUCUUGGUCUGUCCCUGACACUCAAAUGCGGACAGCCGUGGGGAGCAAACAGG